rnacentral:rRNA from 1 species
AUACGGAGGAUCCGAGCGUUAUCCGGAUUUAUUGGGUUUAAAGGGUGCGCAGGCGGCCAUUUAAGUCAGCGGUUAAAUCGCGGGGCUCAACCCCAUUCUGCCGUUGAUACUGGGUGGCUUGAUUGCGGUCGAGGUUGGCGGAAUUCGUUGUGUAGCGGUGAAAUGCAUAGAUAUGACGAAGAACACCGAUUGCGUAGGCAGCUGACCAGACCGCAAAUGACGCUCAUGCACGAAAGUGCGGGGAUCGAACAGGAUUAGAUACCCUGGUAGUCCGCACAGUAAACGAUGAAUACUUGUUUUCGGCGAUAUAAUGUCGGAGGCAAAGCGAAAGCGAUAAGUAUUCCACCUGGGGAGCACGCCGGCAACGGUGAAACUCAAAUGAAUUGACGGGG